AAAUUGAAGAGUUUGAUCAUGGCUCAGAUUGAACGCUGGCGGCAGGCCUAACACAUGCAAGUCGAACGGUAGCACAGAGAGCUUGCUCUCGGGUGACGAGUGGCGGACGGGUGAGUAAUGUCUGGGAAACUGCCUGAUGGAGGGGGAUAACUACUGGAAACGGUAGCUAAUACCGCAUAACGUCGCAAGACCAAAGAGGGGGACCUUCGGGCCUCUUGCCAUCAGAUGUGCCCAGAUGGGAUUAGCUAGUAGGUGGGGUAAUGGCUCACCUAGGCGACGAUCCCUAGCUGGUCUGAGAGGAUGACCAGCCACACUGGAACUGAGACACGGUCCAGACUCCUACGGGAGGCAGCAGUGGGGAAUAUUGCACAAUGGGCGCAAGCCUGAUGCAGCCAUGCCGCGUGUAUGAAGAAGGCCUUCGGGUUGUAAAGUACUUUCAGCGGGGAGGAAGGUGUUGUGGUUAAUAACCGCAGCAAUUGACGUUACCCGCAGAAGAAGCACCGGCUAACUCCGUGCCAGCAGCCGCGGUAAUACGGAGGGUGCAAGCGUUAAUCGGAAUUACUGGGCGUAAAGCGCACGCAGGCGGUCUGUCAAGUCGG
rnacentral:rRNA from 1 species